rnacentral:lncRNA from 1 species
CCUCUCUCUGUCUCUAAACUGUCAGUUGGGACUGUCAAUUGUCAAUUGUGGAAGAAGAGAAGAGAGCUCAUUCCAGGCUGGGAAAAGUGCUAGCGAGUGAGAGAGUUGGGAAUAUAAACAGCUUGCUCCUUGGACUCUGUCUACAGGACAGAAGCCUGAGCACAGCAUGGCUGGGUCCUCUGCUCCAGGUGCUGACAAGGACAUCUGAAGCUUACGUUUCUCAUUCAAGCUCAUGUGGAGUAGCAGGGAUCCGUUCCUGUGGUUGCAGUUUGGAAUCCCUCCUUGACACCUCAGUCGGAGGACCUGAGCCCUCUCACCUGCAUUCCUAUGCUCUGAUGCUGGCCAGACACCUUUCUCUCUCUGCACCUGGCACAGAUCCU